ensembl:snRNA U6 U6 spliceosomal RNA
GUGCUCGCCUCAGCAGCUCAUGUGCUAGAAUGGGAGCAACACAGGAAAGGCUAGCAUGGCCCUGCGCAGAGAUGACAUGCAGAUUUGCGAAGCUGUCUGUAUUUUU